rnacentral:snRNA from 1 species
AACUUUCUGAAGACCAAA